rnacentral:lncRNA from 1 species
UUAUAUAUUGUUAUAUAUUUUCAUGUUAUGUAAAACUUCUUUAACAUAGAUAGAUUUAUGUAACAUAGACACCCGAAAAUUGCGAUAUAGGUUAACAUCUAUUUCAAAUGAUAUCAAAAAUUAACUUUGAAUAUGGGUGUAAAAACACUGGCAACCAGCUUGUAUGCCAAUAUAUAAAAGUCUCAUUGACCCAUGUUUCAGUGUAUGCUGAUGUAGCUUCUAAAAUGUGAGAGGGCAAGGAAAUUAGACGUUACAGUAUUUUUUACAAACUAAUCUGGCUUUAGUCUAUAUACUACAAGAAGUAAUAAGAAAAAUCAAUUUCAGAAGAUUACCAAUCCUUUCAUCCUGGCAUCUUUCAAAAACUCUUAAAAGUGAAUUUGGCAUUGACAGAUACUAAAUGGCGAUAAUUAUGUUAUAUCAGCAAAACGAGUAAUGAACAGUUUUAGUCUUCAACGAUUGAAAUUACUCAGCAAACAUGAAUUCAUUGAAGAAACUGAUUGUCGUUGCUCUAGCAUAAUCGUUGCACGAUCGUUGCACGAUCGACCUGAUAAAAGAUGAAAUUACUUAUAUAUGUGAUUAAUUAAAAAAAGACAAUUAGUUUGUAAAUAAUCAGGUGAAUGGUAGCCUUUAUUAUAUGGCUGGUUGUGUUCAGCACAGGAUGUUGUGCAUAGUUAAUAUCAGUUUUUCAGUUCCAAAAUUAAAAAUUAUGUUUCACAUAGUAAAUUGGGUUUUCUUACUCUUUUGCAUUUUAUUCGUUUUUGUUAUAUAUUAUUUAAC